CACUCCUGCGGGAGGCAGCAGUGGGGAAUUUUGGACAAUGGGCGAAAGCCUGAUCCAGCAAUGCCGCGUGAGUGAAGAAGGCCUUCGGGUUGUAAAGCUCUUUUGUCAGGGAAGAAACGGUGAGAGCUAAUAUCUUUUGCUAAUGACGGUACCUGAAGAAUAAGCACCGGCUAACUACGUGCCAGCAGCCGCGGUAAUACGUAGGGUGCAAGCGUUAAUCGGAAUUACUGGGCGUAAAGCGUGCGCAGGCGGUUUUGUAAGUCUGAUGUGAAAUCCCCGGGCUCAACCUGGGAAUUGCAUUGGAGACUGCAAGGCUAGAAUCUGGCAGAGGGGGGUAGAAUUCCACGUGUAGCAGUGAAAUGCGUAGAUAUGUGGAGGAACACCGAUGGCGAAGGCAGCCCCCUGGGUCAAGAUUGACGCUCAUGCACGAAAGCGUGGGGAGCAAACAGGAUUAGAUACCCUGGUAGUCCCAU
rnacentral:rRNA from 1 species